rnacentral:tRNA from 1 species
CGGUGAUUGGCGCAGCUUGGUAGCGCACUUGGUUUGGGUCCAAGGGGUCGCAGGUUCAAAUCCUGCAUCACCG